rnacentral:lncRNA from 1 species
AUAAUACUUAGAGAAACACCAAACCAUUGAAUCAUUACUCAACCCUUCCUUGUGAAAUGCAGGUGCAGAGAAAUGAGAAGAGGAAGGCCCCCAUUAAACCUAGCAGCCCGGGAUGGUUCGCUUCGAAAAAACGUUGAUAGAAUAUUUGAGAUGCUGGAGAGACUCAUUGCUGCCCAGCAGGGUCGAGAGGAGAGAAGGGAGCUACCCGAC